rnacentral:rRNA from 1 species
GUUUUACCUUGACGAAUUGUAGUUUAAAGAAGUGUUUUCUGUUGAAGUUUCGGUAAAAGUUCUUUGGAAUAGGACAUCAUAGAGGGUGAGAAUCCCGUAUUUGACCAUUAUUUUCAGCUGUGUGAUACACUUUCAAAGAGUCGGAUUGUUUGGGAAUGCAGUCCAAAAUGGGUGGUAAAUUUCAUCUAAAGCUAAAUAUUGGCGAGAGACCGAUAGCGAACAAGUACCGUGAGGGAAAGAUAAAAAGAACUUUGAAAAGAGAGUUAAACAGUACGUGAAAUUGUCAAAAGGGAAGCGUUUGACACCAGUGUUGUUUUCUCGAAAAUCAAUUAAAAAAAGUUGGAUUUUGUGUUGUAUUGACCUUAACAGCUUGCUGCACUCUUUUCCUGCUUUUUUU